CCGAGUUUUAUACUCCCAACCCUGUGAACAUACCAAUCGUUGCUUCGGCGGGCGACCCGGGGGGUCCCCAGGCGCUCUGCGCGCCCGCCGACGGCGCCAAACUCAAGCUUCAGCGGACUUCUGAGUGAAAAACAAACAAGUAA
rnacentral:misc_RNA from 1 species